GGUAGAAGGCUCAGUUGGGAGAGCGCAAGACUCUUCAUCUCAGGGUUGUGGGUUCAAACCCCACAUUGAAAGAUUCCU